UACGUAGGUGACAAGCGUUGUCCGGAUUUACUGGGCGUAAAGAGCGCGCAGGCGGUCGAUCAAGUCGAGUGUGAAAGCCCCCGGCUCAACUGGGGAGGGUCAUUCGAUACUGAUCGACUCGAAGGCAGGAGAGGGUAGUGGAAUUCCCGGUGUAGUGGUGAAAUGCGUAGAUAUCUGGAGGAAUACCGGUGGCGAAGGCGGCAUCCUGGACCGAGAUUGACGCUGAACGGCGAAAGCUAGGGGAGCAAACGGG
rnacentral:rRNA from 1 species